UACGGAGGGUGCUAACGUUGCUCGGAAUUAUUGGGCGUAAAGCGCGCGUAGGCGGUUUUGCAAGUUGGACGUGAAAGCCCAGGGCUUAACCUUGGAAGUGCAUCCAAAACUGCAAAACUUGAGUUUCGGAGGGGGUUGGAGAAUUCCCGGUGGAGAGGUGAAAUUCGUAGAUAUCGGGAGGAAUACCAGUGGCGAAGGCGCCGACCUGGCCGAAUACUGACGCUGAGGUGCGAAAGCAUGGGGAGCAAACAGG
rnacentral:rRNA from 1 species